rfam:Glossina palpalis gambiensis isolate 146720 unplaced genomic scaffold Scaffold733, whole genome shotgun sequence.
AGGGGUAUAGCUCAAUUUGAUAGAGCAUCGGUCUCCAAAACCGAAGGUUGAGAGUUUAAAUCUCUCUACCCCUG